GUGAAGAACGCAGCGAAAUGCGAUACGUAAUGUGAAUUGCAGAAUUCAGUGAAUCAUCGAGUCUUUGAACGCACAUUGCGCCCCCUGGUAUUCCGGGGGGCAUGCCUGUCCGGGCGUCAUUGCUGCCCUCAAGCACGGCUUGUGUGUUGGGCCUCCGUCCUCCUCCCGGGGGACGGGCCCGAAAGGCAGCGGCGGCACCGCGUCCGGUCCUCGAGCGUAUGGGGCUUCGUCACCCGCUCUUGUAGGCCCGGCCGGCGCUUGCCGACACAUCAAUCUUUUUUCCAGGUUGACCUCGGAUCAGGUAGGGAUACCCGCUGAACUUAAGCAUAUCAAUAAGCGGAGGA
rnacentral:misc_RNA from 1 species